rnacentral:pre_miRNA from 1 species
UAAGUACUCCCUCCGUCUCAAAAUUCUUUUCUUAGAUUUAUCUAGAUACGGAUGUAUCUAACACUAAAAUGUGAAUAGAUACAUUCGUAUGUAGACAAAUCUAAGACAAGAAUUUUGGGACGGAGGGAGUAUGUC